AGGCAGGGAAAACUGCAGGGAGCGAGAAGAAAAGUGCGGUAGAAGCCCAGACCCGGGUUGGUUUGCGCUAGAUUAUUUUAGCAGCAAAAUACCUUCCGAUUAAUCGCGAUGUUUAGCGUCUGAUUUACGUACUGCAUUAUUUAUUUAAAUCUCCAGCUAUCACUGUUGCCGCGAAUGAGGAUCUCCUCCAAGAUUAAAGCUAGUCCUAAGAGCAACCGAAUUGCUGUGACUGACUUUCACGGGACUGUAAAGAAAGGAGAUGGUUUCCUCAGUGUGUGGCAAGUGUUUCUUCAAGAAAUUCAUCAGCCCUUCUACAAUUACUUCGAGCUCUGAGGGAAGAGAGCUGCCAUCACUUUCUCACAUCUCAAGGUGUUGCACGGAGGAGAGAAGAAAAGGCUGGAGCAUUUAAUUAUAAUGGGGGUGGGGGGGACGGAGGCUGAAGAAAGCCCUCCCAAGACUGUACCUGGAAAAGAAAACCUGCAAGGGAAUAUUUGGGAGGCGAGUGUGCCAUUUAGAGAUGGCUAAAAGCACCCCGUCUUCUACAACAAUUAGUCUGAACAAUAAACAUAAUUGGAAUAAAAUCAGUUGGAAAUUC